CGUUCGUUGGCCGUUCGGUAGGUGCGAACGGAGCUGCCUGAGGGGAGCAGCGCUGUGGCGCGGACGGAGGCUGGGCGGUCACUCCCUUCCGCGGCCAACGGACCAGGGCUCCCCCCGCAGAGAAUGCAGAACUUGUGCCACAUCACUGACCCUGGAUUUUCACCAUUUUGAGUCCCAUUGUGAGAGGAAAGCAGCUCAGGAGCAUUUUAAAUAAAUAUUCUAAAUGAUGAUUGAAGAGAGUGGAAAAAGGAGGAGGACGAUGGCAGAGAAGAGACAGCUGUUCAUGGAAAUGAGGGCUCAGAAUUUUGAUGUCAUCCGACUGUCCACAUAUCGAACUGCCUGCAAACUGAGAUUUGUGCAAAAAAGAUGUAAUCUUCACCUUGUGGAUAUCUGGAACAUGAUUGAAGCCUUCCGAGACAAUGGCCUUAAUACACUGGAUCACAACACAGAGAUCAACGUGUCUCGACUGGAAACCAUAAUUUCAUCCAUCUACUACCAGCUGAAUAAACGCCUUCCUUCUACUCACCAGAUCAGCGUGGAGCAAUCCAUCAGCCUUCUCCUCAACUUCAUGAUAGCAGCAUAUGACAGCGAGGGCCACGGGAAGUUGACGGUCUUUUCCAUAAAAGCGAUGUUGGCAACCAUGUGUGGCGGAAAAAUUCUGGACAAGUUAAGAUAUAUUUUCUCUCAGAUGUCUGAUUCCAAUGGCUUGAUGAUAUUUUCAAAGUUUGACCAGUUUCUGCGAGAGGUUUUGAAACUUCCAACAGCUGUUUUUGAAGGACCUUCCUUUGGCUACACAGAAAACUCUGUGCGGACAUGUUUUCCUCAGCAGAAAAAGGUCAUGCUAAACAUGUUCUUAGACACAUUAAUGGCUGACCCACCGCCCCAGUGCCUUGUGUGGCUACCUCUCAUGCACAGACUUGCCCACGUCGAAAAUGUCUUCCAUCCAGUGGAAUGUUCUUACUGCCGGUGUGAGAGCAUGAUGGGCUUCCGGUACCGAUGCCAGCAGUGCCACAACUACCAGCUCUGUCAAAACUGUUUUUGGCGCGGCCACGCAAACGGCCCUCACAGCAACCAGCAUCAGAUGAAGGAGCAUUCCUCUUGGAAAUCGCCUGCCAAGAAGCUGAGCCAUGCCAUUAGUAAAUCUCUUGGUUGUGUACCCACUAGAGAGCCUCCUCACCCUGUAUAUCCGGAACAGCCAGAGAAGCCCCUUGACCUUGCCCAUAUAGUCCCUUCUCGGCCCCUCACUAACAUGAACGAUGCCAUGGUUACCCACAUGUCUUCUGGAGCCCCCACGCCAACAAAAAGGUUGCAGUGCAGCUUGGGCCCCUCCAGUCGGCUCAGCGAUGAGCACGCCCUGAUAGCAGCCUAUGUGAGCCGGCUACAGAGCGGUACACGCAGUGUCCUCGAUAGCCCCAGCAGAUUGGACGAAGAACACAGGCUAAUUGCCCGGUACGCUGCCAGGUUGGCUGCUGAAGCUGGCAAUGUGCCACGUCCACCGACAGACCUUGGGUUCAGCUUCGAUGCAAACAAGCAGCAAAGGCAGCUGAUAGCAGAACUGGAAAACAAGAACAGAGAAAUACUGCAAGAAAUCCAGCGCCUCCGAUUGGAGCAUGAACAGGCCUCCCAGCCUACACCGGAGAAAGCCCAGCAGAAUCCAACAUUGCUGGCAGAACUCCGGCUAUUGCGGCAAAGAAAGGAUGAGCUGGAACAGCGAAUGUCUGCUCUGCAGGAAAGCCGAAGGGAGCUGAUGGUUCAACUAGAAGGGCUCAUGAAACUGCUCAAGGAGGAGGAGCAAAAGCAGGCAGCCCAGGCAGCAGGUUCUCCACACACCUCUCCUACCCACGGGACUGGCCGAUCGAUGCCCAUGCCAGUCAGGUCAACAUCUGCUGGCUCCACCCCAACUCAUGUACCCCAAGAUUCACUUGCUGGCGUCGGUGGAGAUGUUCAGGAAGCAUUUGCACAAGGAACCUCAGCUGAAACUCCAUUCGUGAAUGCACUGGUAGCCAGCUGAUUCAAUUACCAACACAAUGUCGUCUUUGGUGAAGGAGCUUCAUUCAGGUGAAGAAGGAGGGGAAGAGGAGGAUGACAAGAUGCAGAAUGGAAAGGACAGAGGUUAACCAGAAGGACUCAGUUUAGCCACUGAUUCAAGUAACAAGGUGUGAGCUCCUGUUCUAAAGACGUCUCUGCAUCCUUCAGCCGAGGCAUGUUCCAGCCGACACAUCCACCAUUGUGAUGCCGUGAAGAUCACAACCAGCAGGGAAGUGCCCUCCUUCUGACAGACUGAGUGGCUUUCCUAGGGGGGGAGGGUGGGGGGGCACUUCCUUAGGUUUGCAUGUCCUGUUUCCAUAGGUGUUCCCGUGCUAAUUGGACAGAGCCUCAUCUCGGUCUUGAGGAGAAAUGCUAAGAGCAGCUUCUCAGGAAUCCGAGCCACCCGCCCGUGAAAGGGUCUCAGUUUCCCACCCAGCAGCCUCGUCACCACCUCAUCAAGCCAUGGGCAUCUCCACUUGUGACCUUCGCCCCCUCGUUUGCACGUUGAAAAGCAGACUUGCAACCUGCCAAGUUUCCUGAUGCGCGGCGCCCUCCAAAUGCUGAGCACGGACCCUUCUUUAAGCCACUCUCACAUUUUCUCUCUCUCGCUGUCUUGCUGAAUGUUGGGCUACCUUGGGGCUUUGCAGGUGCAGUAUUGCCGUGCCUCACAGUGCAGGUAAGGCAUGAGGGGGUAAGAGGCAAAUGCAGACCCAUGACGAGGCAAAGCAGGCUGGCUCCAAAGACGCCAUCUGUCAGGAAGCUCUCCUGCUCAGGCCUCCCUGGAAGGUAUCGGAUCUGUUCAAAAAGCACGGCUGGUUUCAGCAAGGAUGGCACAGGAGAGCUUCCUGGCGGGGAGUGUGCCUUGGGAAGUAAUGGGGAAGAGGACAUUCCUUCUGCUGGAGGAAAAGAGGUUCUUGGCAAUUAGUGGGGGCUUGGCAUUUGGGGCAAUUCUGACUGGGUCCCGGCAGCUUUUUAGCUUGUGUGUUGGCUCAUAAGCUGUUAAAAAAAGAGACUUCACUAGCCUGCUGAUGGGGCUAGAGAUUGUUGUCGCCUUUCUGUAGUGAUUUGGAAACCUGUACCAUCCAUUCCACCCUCUGGUGGUUCUGUUUUUCCUCCUGGAGCUGUGGAAAGCAUUCUUAGUACGGAGGAGUCAAUGGUGUUAAUUUAUAGUGGACAUUAAGCGAAGGGGAGCUACAAACCCUGGAGCCCACUCCUGCCUUCCUGCCUCAACUGGCUGGCCAAGGCAGAGGGACCUUGCUGGUUCCACCCACCCCUUAGGGGGCGUGUCUGUGUGUGAUAGAGUGAAAGUAAGCAGCCUUGUUGGCUGGAAGCUUCAUCCAGGCUAAAUAUUGUGAAUGAACCGUCAGGUGGUUAGCGAAGUGAUGUUAGCUGUGUUUCAGGAUGUGUACUUAAGGCCUGCACAGCAGCAGCAGAUGGUUCUCCUGCCUGUCAUUGGGUGUGGUGAGCUGGAUGGGGCAAGUGGGGAGUCAAUUCCAAGCACAAAAGUUUGGCCUGAAGUACUUGAGGUCUGUGGCUGUAGACAAAGACAUUCCGCUCAUGCAACACCCAAAGGCAGGAGGUUCUGCACUUAGCCCUUAUUCUGACUCAGGCUAGGAAAGUAAGAUGUGAAUGCUGAAAAAGUGCCCUCCAAAAUCAGCUUGGAAAGCACCGUUUUGGGUCUUGUGAGCUCAGUGAAAUCUACAUUCAGAAACAAAAUGAGGGUGAGCCCCUAGAGGUUCAGUUUCAUGGUGGCAAACUCAGGUACCUAGGCUGAGGACCUUGAGGAAGGCAUUCUUGACGAGGUCAGGUGGCCCCAUGAGGUUUCUUUUUGUGUCCUCGCAGGGCUUUGGUGAUAGAUACACUUCCUGCCCCUAGAGGUUCAGUUUCUAGCUUUCAUGGUUAACAGCCAUUGGUGGGCGGUGACAGUCCUUCUUCUUGAAUUGGUCUAAUUCUUUUAAAAGCCAUGUAUGCUAAUGCCAUCACAGCAGUGGCGUAGCGCCCAGGGGACGGGGUGGGGCAUCUUGCCCCGGGUGUGCGCUGGUCGUGGGCGUGGCGUGGGUGUUCCGGGGGCGUGGCAGGGGCACAGGGCACACAGUGUCCCAGGCACAGUUCCCACUAGCUCCGCCCCUGCAUCACAGCCAAGCAAAACUAGUCAGGAUUGCAAUGCACUGCGACAUGUUGGCCCGUUUGCAAGAUCCAUGCUCAAAAUGUCACCACCUUGUGAGUCCCCAUGUCAUUCUGAAUUGUGUAAUCAGAUUCUUCAGUUGAGGAAGAGGAAAGGGCAUCUGGGAGUUCCGUUCCACUCAAUCUUGCACGCCACAAAUGAAAAUCUGGAGAUGUGAGGUUAAUUCCUGCUUCCUUUGGAAUUUUACGACCAUUGUCUGAAUUUUCAGACCUCCGUUCUGCCUGAACAAGGUGGCUUAAGCAUCAUUCUCUGCUGCAGAUACGCAACAUUGAUAACAGUGUGUGCUCCUUUGUUUUCCCAAAACCACCAGUGAUUUUGCAGUGCUUACCAUUAAGAAGCAGCUCCAUCUUACUCCUCCCCAUACAGGGAGCAGGCAAAGAGUUAUGCAGGUGACAGGUGAGUGGAGCAGAAGUCAAAGUGUUCAGUGAAUCUUUUGGGAGGGGGUGGAGGGUAGCAUCCUGGGAGUGAGCAGGAUGCCUCGGUUGUUGUCCUGGCCAUCCCAGGGCUACUGUAAGAGAGGUUGAGGUUGACACUCCUUCUCAGUAAGCUAAGAGGUUUGUGCUAAAUGGCAGUGCCUACCCUCAGCCUGUCACUGACCACCUGCGCACCUUUGGAACCAGCCCUAUAAAUAGGAGCAGUUUUCCAUGGAGCAGUAAGUUAACAUCCUGUUAUAACUAAAAAGUUAUAACAUUAACUCAUCACUGUCUUCAGAGGGGAAGGCUCUGCUGCAGUCGUUUUUCCUUUUCCCACUAAGCCCUUUACCACUUAAGUAGGUGAGUGCAGCAAACCCAGUCGCUUCUGGCGAAGAAGGCUCGGGUGUCUGUUCCUGUUCAAACCAUGACAAGAUGGAUAAGUGAGGUUUCGCAGCCUGCAGUCUGUUGCACAGUGACCCCUCGGUGCCAUGCUCCUGGAUCACUUCACCUGCAACGCCCGUAUAUUUUAGCCUACAAAGCAGUUGAGCCAGAUGCUUUAUAUUACUGGAGCCAAAGGGGCUAGUGGCCUGGCUCCCUGCCAGGCUCUAAACCUGCCUCAGAGGGUGAGAGAUUUAGAGGCAGCUGGCAGCUUACCCAUCCUCUCCUCCUAGAGGCGCUUGGGAACAGCUCCCUUUUCUCCCAACUGCAUCUCACCUGCAGCCCUUGGGAAUGGAAGACAGGUGUGCCGCUGAGCUGUUGGAGCCCUCUGAUGGGCUUAUGCCACCCAAAACCUGUGCUCUGGGUGUUGUCUGCAUCCCUUGGAAACAUGUAUGUUGUUUGGAGCCUGUUUCUUUGUGUCCUAAGACACCCAUAUCACCAGAAUUUUUUAACCUAUCAGACCCACUAAGGACAGUGCCCGGGAAGAUGUGCAGAAAUCCUUUGUCAAGCUGUCAGUCAUCACACAGAGCUGAAUCGUGUUUGGCAAAUUGAAUGAGGUGGACAAUAAGGGGUCGGAUACUUUCACAAUCACAGAUUGUGUUACUAUCCUAAGCCUGAAGGGGAUUUCAUAGCAUAUCUGCAUAUGCCCUCUGGAACACCCAGCCAUUGAAAUCUCCAACACCGUUCGAGAAGACCAUGCAUACUUGCAGUGAUUCGUCUCUUUGACCAUGUGCCCUUGCAAUGAUUAGUCUCUUGCCUCGCCAGUGAAGGGUAUUCAUUUUGUUCUCAGAAUCUGUUUCAGGCAUUGCCUUCCCCUCAGUGAAGUUCUCCUUUAGAGAAGAAGCAGAACUCAUCUGCUCUCCUGUCAUCUCUUUGUGUUGUCCUGGGAUGCAGAUCUAGGAUUAUGUUCCCUUGAGGCCUCAUUUUGAAACCUCAUUGCUGACUGGAACUUUGAUGGCUACUGGACUUGGCUUCUGCCUGAGAUCCUGGGCAAAAAUAUAAAGAAGAGUUUGGAUUUAUACCCCACCUUUCCCUCCUGUAAGGAGACUCAACGUAGCUUACAAAUUCCUUUCUCUUCCUUUUCCUUCAACAGAC